rnacentral:lncRNA from 1 species
UAUAAGGUGAUAAUCUCCCUACAAACAUACAAACAUAGUAAAAGAAAGAAAAGGUAUUUAGUUCGUGAACAAGAAUUUCAUUUCCAGGAGAGACGAAAUCGGAUUUGGGGCAAUUAUUUUUGGUGGCGAGUUCAACAUUUCCGCUGCAUGGUACACAAUUCCUUGUUCUCUCCCCUCGGUUUAAUCUAUCAAAUACAAUGAUAACCACAACCCAAUAUCUUCAAUUUGUUCAAAAAUACCAUUAAAACGUUUUCACAUAAACUUCAUGGGAUAACAAAAACUGGGUGAAAAAAUGAAUAUGAAGGUAAUUUCAAUAAAAUGUACAGACACAUACAACGAAAAAUAAUGGGUUUUAUGAAAAUAAUGCACCUGAAAAGGCUUAGCGGAGAGUUCGUGGUUAAUUUCAGAUUGCACAAUUUUGAGCAAAUCCAAAUCUCCAAUAGCUUUACGAGCUUGAAAUAAUACGGUUGGUACUCUCCUCAUAAUUGUGCUAAUUAAACUCUGCGGCUCCAAUUGUAUAGUUAAGAACUGCCUAAUUUUUGGUAGGCUUAAAAAAAUUAUUGGACCAUCUGUUUUUUUUUUUUUUUGGGUGGUGAAGUGCAUAAAUAGUCGUAUUUAAGAUCUGCCCGAGUUUACUGAAGGAAAAAAGUU